rnacentral:rRNA from 1 species
ACUACGGGUGGCUGCAGUGGGGAAUAUUGGGCAAUGGGCGCAAGCCUGAACCAGCAAAGCCGCGUGAAGGCAGAAGGCUUUAGGGUUGUAAACUUCUUUUACGCGGGAAGCGCAGAAGACGGUACGUCUUGAAUAAGCUCCGGCUAACUAUGUGCCAGCAGACGAGGUCAUACGUAGGGGGCGAGCGUUGUCCGAAUUUCCUGGGUGUAAAGGGCUUGCAGCCGGGAGUAGAAGUCACAUGUGAAAUCCCGCGGCUCAACCGCGGAACUGCCUUUGAACAUGUAUUUCUUGAGUACUGUAGAGGCAGACGGAAUUCCUAGUGUAGCGGUGAAAUGCAUAGAUAUUAGGCGGAACACC